rnacentral:misc_RNA from 1 species
GAUAGAAGAACGUAGUGAAAUGCGAUAAGUAAUGUGAAUUGCAGAAUUCAGUGAAUCAUCGAAUCUUUGAACGCACAUUGCGCCCGCCAGUAUUCUGGCGGGCAUGCCUGUUCGAGCGUCAUUUCAACCAUCAAGCCCCCGGCUUGUGUUGGGGACCUGCGGCUGCCGCAGGCCCUGAAAAGCAGUGGCGGGCUCGCUGUCACACCGAGCGUAGUAGCAUACAUCUCGCUCUGGGCGUGCUGCGGGUUCCGGCCGUUAAACCACCUUCAUAACCCAAGGUUGACCUCGGAUCAGGUAGGAAGACCCGCUGAACUUAAGCAUAUCAAUAAGCGGAGGA